UACUGUUUAAUAAAAAAUAAAAAAAAAUCACCUUUAUUUAACCAGGUAGGCUAGUUGAGAACACCUUUAUUUAACCAGGUAGGCUAGUUGAGAACACCUUUAUUUAACCAGGUAGGCUAGUUGAGAACACCUUUAUUUAACCAGGUAGGCUAGUUGAGAACACCUUUAUUUAACCAGGUAGGCUAGUUGAGAACACCUUUAUUUAACCAGGUAAGCUAGUUGAGAACAAGUUCUCAUUUGCAACUGUGACCUGGCCAAGAUAAAGCAAAGUAGUUCGACACAUUUAACAACACAGAGUUACACAUGGAAUGAACCAACAUACAAGCAAUAAUACAGUAGAUCUAUAUACAGCAUGUGUAAAUGAGGCAGGAUAAGAGAGGUAAUACAUACAGUAGAUCUAUAUACAGCAUGUGUAAAUGAGGCAGGAUGAGAGAGGUAAUAAAUACAGUAGAUCUAUAUACAGCAUGUGUAAAUGAGGCAGGAUGAGAGAGGUAAUAAAUACAGUAGAUCUAUAUACAGCAUGUGUAAAUGAGGCAGGAUGAGAGAGGUAAUAAAUACAGUAGAUCUAUAUACAGCAUGUGUAAAUGAGGCAGGAUAAGAGAGGUAAUAAAUACAGUAGAUCUAUAUACAGCAUGUGUAAAUGAGGCAGGAUGAGAGAGGUAAUAAAUACAGUAGAUCUAUAUACAGCAUGUGUAAAUGAGGCAGGAUAAGAGAGGUAAUAAAUACAGUAGAUCUAUAUACAGCAUGUGUAAAUGAGGCAGGAUAAGAGAGGUAAUAAAUACAGUAGAUCUAUAUACAGCAUGUGUAAAUGAGGCAGGAUGAGAGAGGUAAUAAAUACAGUAGAUCUAUAUACAGCAUGUGUAAAUGAGGCAGGAUGAGAGAGGUAAUAAAUACAGUAGAUCUAUAUACAGCAUGUGUAAAUGAGGCAGGAUGAGAGAGGUAAUAAAUACAGUAGAUCUAUAUACAGCAUGUGUAAAUGAGGCAGGAUGAGAGAGGUAAUAAAUACAGUAGAUCUAUAUACAGCAUGUGUAAAUGAGGCAGGAUGAGAGAGGUAAUAAAUACAGUAGAUCUAUAUACAGCAUGUGUAAAUGAGGCAGGAUGAGAGAGGUAAUAAAUACAGUAGAUCUAUAUACAGCAUGUGUAAAUGAGGCAGGAUGAGAGAGGUAAUAAAUACAGUAGAUCUAUAUACAGCAUGUGUAAAUGAGGCAGGAUGAGAGAGGUAAUAAAUACAGUAGAUCUAUAUACAGCAUGUGUAAAUGAGGCAGGAUGAGAGAGGUAAUAAAUACAGUAGAUCUAUAUACAGCAUGUGUAAAUGAGGCAGGAUGAGAGAGGUAAUAAAUACAGUAGAUCUAUAUACAGCAUGUGUAAAUGAGGCAGGAUGAGAGAGGUAAUAAAUACAGUAGAUCUAUAUACAGCAUGUGUAAAUGAGGCAGGAUAAGAGAGGUAAUAAAUACAGUAGAUCUAUAUACAGCAUGUGUAAAUGAGGCAGGAUAAGAGAGGUAAUAAAUACAGUAGAUCUAUAUACAGCAUGUGUAAAUGAGGCAGGAUGAGAGAGGUAAUAAAUACAGUAGAUCUAUAUACAGCAUGUGUAAAUGAGGCAGGAUAAGAGAGGUAAUAAAUACAGUAGAUCUAUAUACAGCAUGUGUAAAUGAGGCAGGAUGAGAGAGGUAAUAAAUACAGUAGAUCUAUAUACAGCAUGUGUAAAUGAGGCAGGAUGAGAGAGGUAAUAAAUACAGUAGAUCUAUAUACAGCAUGUGUAAAUGAGGCAGGAUGAGAGAGGUAAUAAAUACAGUAGAUCUAUAUACAGCAUGUGUAAAUGAGGCAGGAUAAGAGAGGUAAUAAAUACAGUAGAUCUAUAUACAGCAUGUGUAAAUGAGGCAGGAUAAGAGAGGUAAUAAAUACAGUAGAUCUAUAUACAGCAUGUGUAAAUGAGGCAGGAUGAGAGAGGUAAUAAAUACAGUAGAUCUAUAUACAGCAUGUGUAAAUGAGGCAGGAUAAGAGAGGUAAUAAAUACAGUAGAUCUAUAUACAGCAUGUGUAAAUGAGGCAGGAUGAGAGAGGUAAUAAAUACAGUAGAUCUAUAUACAGCAUGUGUAAAUGAGGCAGGAUGAGAGAGAUAAUAAAUACAGUAGAUCUAUAUACAGCAUGUGUAAAUGAGGCAGGAUGAGAGAGGUAAUAAAUACAGUAGAUCUAUAUACAGCAUGUGUAAAUGAGGCAGGAUGAGAGAGGUAAUAAAUACAGUAGAUCUAUAUACAGCAUGUGUAAAUGAGGCAGGAUAAGAGAGGUAAUAAAUACAGUAGAUCUAUAUACAGCAUGUGUAAAUGAGGCAGGAUAAGAGAGGUAAUAAAUACAGUAGAUCUAUAUACAGCAUGUGUAAAUGGGGCAGGAUGAGAGAGGUAAUAAAUACAGUAGAUCUAUAUACAGCAUGUGUAAAUGAGGCAGGAUAAGAGAGGUAAUAAAUACAGUAGAUCUAUAUACAGCAUGUGUAAAUGAGGCAGGAUGA